UACGGAAGGCAGCAGUGGGGAAUAUUGCACAAUGGGCGCAAGCCUGAUGCAGCCAUGCCGCGUGUAUGAAGAAGGCCUUCGGGUUGUAAAGUACUUUCAGUCGUGAGGAAGGUGUUAAGGUUAAUAACCUUAGCAAUUGACGUUAGCGACAGAAGAAGCACCGGCUAACUCCGUGCCAGCAGCCGCGGUAAUACGGAGGGUGCGAGCGUUAAUCGGAAUUACUGGGCGUAAAGGGCACGCAGGCGGUUAAUUAAGUUGGAUGUGAAAUCCCCGGGCUUAACCUGGGAAUGGCAUUCAAGACUGGUUAGCUAGAGUCUUGCAGAGGGGGUAGAAUUCCAUGUGUAGCGGUGAAAUGCGUAGAGAUGUGGAGGAAUACCGGUGGCGAAGGCGGCCCCUGGACAAAGACUGACGCUCAUGUGCGAAAGCGUGGGGAGCAAACGAGGAUUAGAUACC
rnacentral:rRNA from 1 species